AAGAAGAAGAAGGCUGAUGUCAGCAGGCUCCAAGGAAACUUCAAGUUUUAAAAGAUGCUGUUUUAAAACAGUUUCCUAUUAGGCCAAGGAAGCUGAUGUCAGAAAAUCUAUCAACAGUAGAAUCUGCGAGCUAAUGGCAUUAAGACACCAGGUGAAGAGCAAAAGCACUGGUAUUUAAGUGGUUUACAUCAGUGAAGAUCCAAGGUGGUCUCCUAACCAGGAUAAUGGACUGUUCUUUUGGCAAUUUUUUUUUUUUUUUGCUUUUUCACGGUUCCCAAAACUUCUUGAAAGUUUGUUUAUUAUUUAUUUGUUCAUUAUUGUCUGUGCAUUUUGUUUAUUGAUAUUGUCUUUAUUGAUAUUGUCUUUAUAUUGUAUAAUGGCACUGCUGAAAUUUUGAAAUGUACAUUGGUAAUUUAAGUUGCUUUAAUUUAUAUUUUGUAUAUUUUUUUGUUUAAUGGCACUCUUUUAAAAUGUAAUUUAUGUAAAUGCAAUGCAACACAUUUAUGUAAUGUAAUGUAAAGCCAAUCACAUUUCCUUUGACUGACCAUAUGCAAAACCUCUUGUGGUUUUAAUGGGCCUAUAGAGCUCUGUACCUCAAAUUGGGUUUAGUAUCUGUGCCUGAUUAAAAGAAAAUAAAGGUGGCUUUUGAUAGAUUA